UUUAAAUUUCCUUGUUUUGCUGCUAAGGUCGGAUAGUGAAUAGCAACUCCAGCUCUAAUCUUUUGGCUGACUGACAGGAAGAAAUACACUCCUGUAUGUCUCAUCGCUCUCAUUGAAUUGUUAGAAUUCAGAGAGAAGCAGCAGCUAGCAAGUCAUGUGGCAAGAUUAUACGCUGAUAAGAUAGCUUUGUCCCUCCAAAGUUAAACCAGAUGCCAAUAAUAAAUACAUGCAAUUCUUUUAUUAUUAUUUUAAUCCCUGAUUUUAUCUCUGAGAAUGUCUCUUUUGUUGACAAAAUUGCAUCGAGUCAUGAAGAAUUCUGUACAACAUAAACUGCAAAUACGUUGUACAACACACAUUUCAUGAUGCCCUUCCAAAAUCCAUCUUCUACCAUGACAGUAGAAGCUGCAGAAGGAGCAGACAACUGAUGUGGAAUCAUCUCAAACUGUGCACGGUUGAGCAAGAAGAGAUGGACCUGACAUGCUUCAUGGAAGGAAAAGUCUUGGGAUAAAACUGAAAUGUCAAAACUGAAGCAAACUGCAUGAGUCAAAUGGAAAUCAAGUGGUGAAAAUGUCUUCCAAAGCUGAUAACACACUAGUCAUAUUUACUUGUAUUUGCCAUGGUAAAACGGAGGCUCUAUCAAAAAUCAGGCUCACUCUGUGUAAGACAGAAGAAGGAAGAAACCUGCUUUUUGAUAUCAAAGAAAAGGAGAGCUUGAUAGCUUAUAUUACGCAUUCUAUAGACAAUUAUGUGGACCCUAUUGGCUUCUAUAACAUUUUGAAAACGCAUUCACAAUAAUAUUCUAUUUCCAUGCUAGCAAUGUCAGUGGGUGUCCUGGUAGUACAUUAUUUAGGCACAUUGAGAAAAUAAUAGGAUUUACAAUAGCUGGCAAUUUGUUUUCUACUGCCACAGUGUAUGCUUUUGUUACAGUCCUCGUAACUGUUAGAAAUUUCUUUCUGGCUAUUCUGUUCAUCUUUUCUACUGAAAUAUUUCUUCAUUGUGAAUCACUUUAGUAUGAAUUGGACUGUUUUUGCUGUCAAAGGUUUUCAUUAUUAGACUUAAUAUAAAUAGUGCAAAUGUUUUUCUAGGAAUAGUCAUCCACAUUUUUAAUGUUUUCUACUUCUGCUUGUAGGUCUGAUUAAUGGUAUUACCAGUAGCACUAGCAAACUAUUGCAAAAGGCAGGGAAUACUUCCAAAUACUAG
ensembl:lncRNA